rnacentral:lncRNA from 1 species
CGACAUCUGGUGGAAGUGCUUUGCGUUCAUGUACCGGACGCCCCCAACAAGCCGUGAUCCAAACCCGGACCGCGACGACAACACCAACGUCGUCUCGGACCAUCGAGCAAGCCGCUGUCUUCAACAGCUCCCU